UACGGGGGGGGCAAGCGUUGUUCGGAAUUACUGGGCGUAAAGGGUUCGUAGGUGGCUUGUUAAGUCAGACGUGAAAUCCCUCGGCUCAACCGGGGAACUGCGUCUGAGACUGAUGAGCUCGAGUGCAGGAGAGGAACGCGGAAUUCCAGGUGUAGCGGUGAAAUGCGUAGAUAUCUGGAGGAACACCGGUGGCGAAGGCGGCUUCCUGGCCUGCGACUGACGCUGUGGCGCGAAAGCUAGGGGAGCAAACGGG
rnacentral:rRNA from 1 species